rnacentral:rRNA from 1 species
GUGGGUAGUUUGACUGGGGCGGUCUCCUCCUAAAGAGUAACGGAGGAGCACGAAGGUUGGCUAAUCCUGGUCGGACAUCAGGAGGUUAGUGCAAUGGCAUAAGCCAGCUUGACUGCGAGCGUGACGGCGCGAGCAGGUGCGAAAGCAGGUCAUAGUGAUCCGGUGGUUCUGAAUGGAAGGGCCAUCGCUCAACGGAUAAAAGGUACUCCGGGGAUAACAGGCUGAUACCGCCCAAGAGUUCAUAUCGACGGCGGUGUUUGGCACCUCGAUGUCGGCUCAUCACAUCCUGGGGCUGAAGUAGGUCCCAAGGGUAUGGCUGUUCGCCAUUUAAAGUGGUACGCGAGCUGGGUUUAGAACGUCGUGAGACAGUUCGGUCCCUAUCUGCCGUGGGCGCUGGAGAACU